ACACCAUACAUGGCGGGGGACGCGCCAGUGGUGGAGGCGCGGAGCGCAGAACGUGCACCAGGCCAGAGAGGGGGCUCCGUCCCCCGCACUCCAGACAGUGGUUUCGUCCAGAUCUAGCCACGCCCCGGGGCGGGGCUUCCAGUUUUUCCCAGGACUUCACCCUCUCGGAGCUCUAGGGCUGGGUCUGGGCUCAGGGUGCUGAGAGACGCCUGCGGGUGGGACCCCACUGACUCGGGAGAGGUCGGCUCCGAGGAGUCGUUCCUAAGCCCACUAAACGGACCCAGAGUCUCAGAGCAUGACGUCAGACCCAGUUUGCCCUCCGGGGAAGGCUGGCCCUAAGUGAGUCACCCUGUCCGUCCUGCCCGAGGGGGUCACUGCCAGAGGGGCCGGUGUCAGAGCUAGGACUGGGCUGCUUUGUCACUCGGGCACUCUAGGCUGUGAAUUACCCGUCUGGCACUGCUAGUCCUAAGAUUUGGACUUUAAUUUCUUGCUCUGAUGUCCGGAAUUGGAGAGAUCGAAGGGGUGGGACCUUCAUCGAUGUAUUUGUUGAGUUACUCAACUAAAGAGUUUUCGUUUAGCUCAUGGAACUUGAGCUUAGCCCAGCUGACCUAAACCUAGGACAGAUAUCGUCACAGUCUACUUCUGAAAAGCAGCUCGACAGACGUACAAUAUACUUGCUUGGCUUUCGUACCAUCCUUGGACAAGGCUCGUCCUUUUAUAGGAUGCUGAAAGCCAGGCAUGGAGAUACACACCUGCAAUACCAGUACUUGGGAAGUUGAAGCAGGAAGAUCAGGUGUUGAAGACCAGCUUCAGCCACAUAGUAAAUUUGAGGCCAGCCUGAGCUACUUGAGACCGUGUCCAAAAAACUCUCAAAGGUUAAAAACAAAAGCAAUCCUGGUAGCUGCCAUCAGUCUGUACUCCCGCCAUCAGUGGAGAAGGGUUCCUCUUCCUCACCUCUUCUGCAGCAUGCUUUCUUAAUGGGUCUCAUGCAACCCAGGCUGGCCUUGAAAUGUCCUUCUGCAGAACAGGACGAUCCCUAUUGUGAUACUAGACUACAAAACAAGCAAUUGAUCAAUCAAACAAACAAGGAAGAUAGAAGAAAAAAAACCCAAACAAACGAGAGAGAGAGAGAAAGAAAGAAAGAAAAGAGUAUCGAGGCUUUACUUACACUCUAACAUCCUCUAAAUGUGCAGAUCAAGCUUGGACCGCGAUAAAGAGAGGCAGCAGAGCAACAAGCAAGAGCCCAGCGCAGCAGGGGAGCGUAUUUUCUGAAGAAACACGACAGAGGAUUCAGUGAAGAAGUUCUGCAGUCCUUUAAGUGGUUACUCUUACCUGAAAAGUAAAU